rnacentral:rRNA from 1 species
GAUGAACGCUGGCGGCGUGCCUAACACAUGCAAGUCGAGCGAACAGACGCGGUUCUUGCUCCUCUGACGUUAGCGGCGGACGUGUGAGUAACAUGAGGAUCACCUACCUUUAAGACUGGUAUAGCUUCGUGGAGCCGGUACCAAUACCGGAUCAUUUAUUCAUCCGCAUGGUUCAAUAGCUUCAGAGGUUUUUGCUGUAAUCGAUAGAUGUCUCCGUGCUGCUUUGGCUAGUUGGUACGGUAACGGCUUAGCAUGGCGACGAUGCGUAGCCGACCUGAGAGGGUGAUCGGGCACUCUGGGGCUGAGACGCGGUACAGACUCCUACGGGCGGCAGCAGUAGGGACUCUUGCGAGAUGGGCGGAAGCCUGACGGAGCGACGCCGCGCGAAUGAUGAAGGUCUUCGGAUCGUAAAACGCUGUUAUGAUGGAAGAACAAAUGUAUAAGUAACGAUGCACGUCUUGACGGUACCUGAUCAGAAAGCAACGGCUAACUACGUG